UGGACGAAAGUCUGACGGAGCAACGCCGCGUGAGUGAUGAAGGCUUUCGGGUCGUAAAACUCUGUUGUUAGGGAAGAACAAGUACAAGAGUAACUGCUUGUACCUUGACGGUACCUAACCAGAAAGCCACGGCUAACUACGUGCCAGCAGCCGCGGUAAUACGUAGGUGGCAAGCGUUAUCCGGAAUUAUUGGGCGUAAAGCGCGCGCAGGCGGUUUCUUAAGUCUGAUGUGAAAGCCCACGGCUCAACCGUGGAGGGUCAUUGGAAACUGGGGAACUUGAGUGCAGAAGAGAAAAGCGGAAUUCCACGUGUAGCGGUGAAAUGCGUAGAGAUGUGGAGGAACACCAGUGGCGAAGGCGGCUUUUUGGUCUGUAACUGACGCUGAG
rnacentral:rRNA from 1 species